UAGAGUUUGAUCCUGGCUCAGGAUGAACGCUGGCGGCGUGCCUAACACAUGCAAGUCGAACGAAGCUUGACGGAUGAUUUCUUCGGAAUGAAACCUGAUAUGACUUAGUGGCGGACGGGUGAGUAACACGUGAGCAACCUGCCUUUCAGAGGGGGAUAACGGCUGGAAACGGUCGCUAAUACCGCAUGAUGUGUUCGGAUGGCAUCAUCUGAACAUCAAAGAUUUAUCGCUGAAAGAUGGGCUCGCGUCUGAUUAGAUAGUUGGUGGGGUAACGGCCUACCAAGUCUACGAUCAGUAGCCGGACUGAGAGGUUGAACGGCCACGUUGGGACUGAGAUACGGCCCAGACUCCUACGGGAGGCAGCAGUGGGGAAUAUUGCACAAUGGGGGAAACCCUGAUGCAGCAACGCCGCGUGAAGGAUGACGGUUUUCGGAUUGUAAACUUCUUUUCUUAGUGACGAAGACAGUGACGGUAGCUAAGGAAUAAGCAUCGGCUAACUACGUGCCAGCAGCCGCGGUAAUACGUAGGAUGCAAGCGUUAUCCGGAUUUACUGCGUGUAAAGGGAGCGCAGGCGGGACUGCAAGUUGGAUGUGAAAUACCGUGGCUUAACCACGGAACUGCAUCCAAAACUGUAGUUCUUGAGUGAAGUAGAGGCAAGCGGAAUUCCGAGUGUAGCGGUGAAAUGCGUAGAUAUUCGGAGGAACACCAGUGGCGAAGGCGGCUUGCUGGGCUUUAACUGACGCUGAGGCUCGAAAGUGUGGGGAGCAAACAGGAUUAGAUACCCUGGUAGUCCACACUGUAAACGAUGAUAGCUAGGUGUGGGGGGUCUGACCCCUUCCGUGCCGGAGUUAACGCAAUAAGCUAUCCACCUGGGGAGUACGACCGCAAGGUUGAAACUC
rnacentral:rRNA from 1 species